rnacentral:sRNA from 1 species
UGAUGUUUGGUGUAAUCGACGUUGUCGAC